rnacentral:ncRNA from 1 species
AUAUUCGCGUUGAAAAGGAAUAGUAAAGACUUCCCUUUUUUGUAGAGAGAGAAUGGUUGGUGAAAAUUCUCAAAAAGGUGUCUUGAACCAGCCUUGGAGCCCUGUACCGAAAACUUGAAGUAGGCUAUAGCGAUUCAUCUCGUUAUCGAUGAAAAAGAUGUGAUCAUAGUGCCAUGGAAUAUGAUCAUAAUUAGGGUGGUACCGCCGAUUUUGGCCCCUUGC